AUCUUUGCGCUUGGGGCAAUGACGCAGCUAGUGAGGUUCUAACCGAGGCGCGUCUAUUGCUGGUUGAAAACUAUUUCCAAACCCCCUCUUCGGCCGGGGCCUUGCCCCUGGCCGUUGAGAAUUUCUGGAAGGGCUCCCCGAUUUCUCUCGAGGGUUAAGCC
rnacentral:snRNA from 1 species